GUGCCGUCUCUCUUCUGUUCCUGAUCAAUCUUCUUGGUGGAAUUAGGUCACAGUUGAGCAACAACUCUAAGUGGGGCAGCAACUCUUUGGUCUCCAGCAGUAGUUGUUCAUUUCGGCAGGACUGUCCCUAGUUGUGGAUCAACAUCGGUUGCGAGUAGAGGAUUUUGACACGAGACGAGUAUCUCGGAGUCGGAUUGGACCUUUCUAUUUUCGG